rnacentral:tRNA from 1 species
GGUAGCAUGCCAGAGUGGUUAAUGGGUAGGACUUGAAAUCCUAUGGGUUCGCCCGCGCAGGUUCGAACCCUGCUGCUAUCG